GCCGUAAGAGGCAGCGGCAGGCCAGCGUAAAGCAAAGUCGGCCUGCAUCACGGCGUGUCAAGUCAAGGGUGGAACCGAAGAGCCGCUUCUCCGCUCAUCCGUAAUAUUUCCGUCCCACCGGCAUCGGCGUGCGGGAGCAGUCCGGAAAUCCGCGACACUUACUGCGCGAUCAAUAAUAUAUGCAGCGGAAUUCAACUGCCAAGGAAAGGAGAAAACCGACGACGCGAACGAAAAUUGCUAGAGGCACAUCUCUCCGGGAAAAGAGACGAACGUUCAGAACGUAACCACUGCCGCCACCACCGCCAUCAUCAUCACCACCAUCACCACCAUCACCACCACCACCAUCACCACCAUCACCACCACCACUAUCUCGCCGUCUCUCUCGUCUGCCAACAUACGUAUUGACGAAGAUGCAAGCGAGCUGCUCAUCAUCAUGCGCCCCCUAACGAUGCCCCCCACGGACCGACUCGCUUGUCUAAUUCGAUUGUCGUUGUCGAGUUCGUUGUCGAGUUCGAGAACGGUUCGAGUAAUUUCGUCGGAUUCGAAUCUCUCUGGAUUCACGGCACAAUUCCAGUUGCGCUAUACCGGAACAUUCACCGCACGAUGGUGAAUGUACAUAGAAGCUGGCACCAUGGCGGGGCGAGAUUGUCCCGCCAAAACGUCGAAGUUAGAGAGAGACCAGCAUGUGUUCUAUAUUCUACACGCAGUUUAUAGUAAUCGACCGACAAAAGGUCGUCUUACCGAGUUAUUUCGCUAGAUUGGGCAGAGAGAUAGAGAAAGAGAGAGUGAGAUAGAGAAAGAAAGAGAGAGAGAAUGAGAGAGAGAGAAUGAGAGAGAAAGAGAUAAUGAGAGAGAGAGAGAGAGAGAGGAGAGAGAGAGAGACGAUAAGUAAGCUCUUGUUCAUGAAUUGCGUGUUUGAUCAAUGCCAGUAUGCGUUUCAUCAGCGAGCGUCGUGAAACGGAAACGUUACGCUAAAGGCCAUAAUAAAAGUAAAGCCAUAUUCAAUUGAA